GGCCGGCACCUUGUUCCUUGUUCGCAUGGCGUUGGUUGAAGGUGGAGGUGUGCUGUGCAGGUGGGCGACGAGCUUCUAAUUCAAGUUGAAAUAGAAGAUCAGCUAUUUCUCCCUAGAAGAUGGCAGCAGUGCUAAAGAUGCCAUGCACAGAGAGCUCCAGCACAUUGUAUCUAAAAUGGUCGUACAGAAGUACAGCUGGGUUUCUGAGAACAAAUUAGCAUUUAAAAGCCUGGCAAAUGUGCUGCUGUUUCUCCUUGGUGCCAGACGUACCCCGUU
rnacentral:lncRNA from 1 species